GCCUUAGUGGUGUAGCGGUCAGCACGCUCGACGCGUAACCGAGAGGUCCGCGGUUCGAUUCCCGGCGAAAGCG
rfam:Stegodyphus mimosarum contig100312, whole genome shotgun sequence.